AAUAAUUCACUAUUUUUAAGGUAUUAAUUAUCUCCACUUAUGGCAAUAUACUUAUAAGAUAUAAUAAAGUCAGAAAUCUUUAAAUAGCAAUGUCAUUUAACUUUAAAACUUUUUAUGGAUUGGGUCUAGAGAGACGAGAAGAGAAAAAUAAGAAAUAGAAGAAGCCUUUAGAACUUUUUAUGAAUUGGGUUUAGAGAGACAAGAAGAAGAAAUAGAACUAGAAGAAGCGUAUUAAUGAAUAAAUAACUCAUAUAUAUUUAUAGACAAUGAAAAGUCAUGAAAUCUUUCUAAACAGGCGCAUCUAUCUAUUUCCAAUAGGUAUGAUUGUUUGUUUUAAAUUGGCACAUCUUCUAAACAGAUGUGAUUGUUUGAGUGUAAUAGACAUGUUCAUUUAUAGUUGUAAUUGUUUGUAUGUAAUAGGCAUGUCUGUUUAUAGCAGACACAUCUAUUAAUGAUUUAUUUAUGAAAAUUAAAAUAAUAAAGAUAAGAUUAAUUAUUUUAUUUUUAUACACGCGUGUGUCAAGUG
rnacentral:misc_RNA from 1 species